CGCGGGGUGGAGCAGCUCGGUAGCUCGCUGGGCUCAUAACCCAGAGGUCGCAGGUUCAAAUCCUGUCCCCGCAACAA
rnacentral:tRNA from 21 species